rnacentral:rRNA from 1 species
GUAGGGUGCGAGCGUUAAUCGGAAUUACUGGGCGUAAAGCGUGCGCAGGCGGCUUUGCAAGACAGAUGUGAAAUCCCCGGGCUCAACCUGGGAACUGCAUUUGUGACUGCAAGGCUAGAGUACGGCAGAGGGGGAUGGAAUUCCGCGUGUAGCAGUGAAAUGCGUAGAUAUGCGGAGGAACACCGAUGGCGAAGGCAAUCCCCUGGGCCUGUACUGACGCUCAUGCACGAAAGCGCGGGGAGCAAACAGGAUUAGAUACCCUGGUAGUCCCACGCCCCUAAACGAUGUCAACUGGUUGUUGGACGGCUUGCUGUUCAGUAACGAAGCUAACGCGUGAAGUUGACCGCCUGGGGAGUACGGCCGCAAGGUUG